GGUAGCUCAGUCGGUAGAGCAGAGGACUGAAAAUCCUCGUGUCGGCGGUUCGAUUCCGUCCC
rnacentral:tRNA from 2 species